rnacentral:rRNA from 1 species
UGGGGAAUAUUGGACAAUGGGCGAAAGCCUGAUCCAGCAAUACCGCGUGAAUGAUGAAGGCCUUAGGGUUGUAAAGUUCUUUUAGUAGGGAAGAUAAUGACGUUGUACCUACAGAAAAAGCUCCGGCUAACUCCGUGCCAGCAGCCGCGGUAAUACGGAGGGGGCUAGCGUUGUUCGGAUUUACUGGGCGUAAAGAGUACGUAGGCGGGAUAAUAAGUUGGAAGUGAAAGCCCAAGGCUUAACCUUGGAACUGCUUUCAAAACUGUUAUUCUUGAGUGUAGUAGGGGGUGAUGGAAUUCCUAGUGUAGAGGUGAAAUUCUUAGAUAUUAGGAGGAACACCGGUGGCGAAAGCGAUCACCUAGGCUAUUACUGACGCUGAGGUACGAAAGCGUGGGGAGCAAACA